GGCUAUCCCGUCCGCGAUGGUGCCCGUGAUCCGCAUGUCACGGGUGAAAAGGGAACGCGGUGCGCCGAACUUCGGCAAACCCGCGACUGCCCCCGCAACUGUAAGCGGCGAGCGUGCUUCGACAUGUCCACUGGGCCCCGUGUGGCCCGGGAAUGAUCGGAGGGCGCCGGGACCCGCGAGUCAGGAAACCUGCCAUCGCCACGACCUGUUC
rnacentral:ncRNA from 2 species